GGGGACUUCGACUCUUUGUUACAUACCAUAAGCAACCUCUGUGCUAAUGUGGUUGUUUUGGACUUCCCACCACGGCUCAUCGUCGAGGAGAGGGAGCAGGCACUCCUGCGACAGGAGUACAGCCGUGUAGCAGCCAAGAGAAGUGUUCGGUACCUACCGGUCACUGAGCACUUCCCUCUCAGCCACCUGGACAUGUGGAGUAGGGAUG